rnacentral:rRNA from 1 species
UACGGAGGGUGCAAGCGUUAUCCGGAUUUACUGGGUUUAAAGGGUGCGUAGGUGGGUAGGAAAGUCAGUGGUGAAAUCUUCGGGCUUAACCCGGAAACUGCCAUGGAUACUAUUUGUCUUGAAUAUUGUGGAGGUGAGCGGAAUAUGUCAUGUAGCGGUGAAAUGCUUAGAUAUGACAUAGAACACCAAUUGCGAAGGCAGCUCACUACACAAUUAUUGACGCUGAGGCACGAAAGCGUGGGGAUCAAACAGG